rnacentral:rRNA from 1 species
GAUUAAGUUAUUAAGGGCGCACGGUGGAUGCCUUGGCACUAGAAGCCGAUGAAGGACGUUACUAACGACGAUAUGCUUUGGGGAGCUGUAAGUAAGCUUUGAUCCAGAGAUUUCCGAAUGGGGAAACCCAGCAUGAGUUAUGUCAUGUUAUCGAUAUGUGAAUACAUAGCAUAUCAGAAGGCACACCCGGAGAACUGAAACAUCUUAGUACCCGGAGGAAGAGAAAGAAAAUUCGAUUCCCUUAGUAGCGGCGAGCGAAACGGGAAGAGCCCAAACCAACAAGCUUGCUUGUUGGGGUUGUAGGACACUCUAUACGGAGUUACAAAGGACGACAUUAGACGAAUCAUCUGGAAAGAUGAAUCAAAGAAGGUAAUAAUCCUGUAGUCGAAAAUGUUGUCUCUCUUGAGUGGAUCCUGAGUACGACGGAGCACGUGAAAUUCCGUCGGAAUCUGGGACACCAUCUCCUAAGGCUAAAUACUCUCUAGUGACCGAUAGUGAACCAGUACCGUGAGGGAAAGGUGAAAAGCACCCCGGAAGGGGAGUGAAAUAGAACCUGAAACCGUGUGCUUACAAGUAGUCAGAGCCCGUUAAUGGGUGAUGGCGUGCCUUUUGUAGAAUGAACCGGCGAGUUACGAUUUGAUGCAAGGUUAAGCAGUAAAUGUGGAGCCGUAGCGAAAGCGAGUCUGAAUAGGGCGUUUAGUAUUUGGUCGUAGACCCGAAACCAGGUGAUCUACCCUUGGUCAGGUUGAAGUUCAGGUAACACUGAAUGGAGGAUCGAACCGACUUACGUUGAAAAGUGAGCGGAUGAACUGAGGGUAGCGGAGAAAUUCCAAUCGAACCUGGAGAUAGCUGGUUCUCUCCGAAAUAGCUUUAGGGCUAGCCUCAAGUGAUGAUUAUUGGAGGUAGAGCACUGUUUGGACGAGGGGCCCCUCUCGGGUUACCGAAUUCAGACAAACUCCGAAUGCCAAUUAAUUUAACUUGGGAGUCAGAACAUGGGUGAUAAGGUCCGUGUUCGAAAGGGAAACAGCCCAGACCACCAGCUAAGGUCCCAAAAUAUAUGUUAAGUGGAAAAGGAUGUGGCGUUGCCCAGACAACUAGGAUGUUGGCUUAGAAGCAGCCAUCAUUUAAAGAGUGCGUAAUAGCUCACUAGUCGAGUGACACUGCGCCGAAAAUGUACCGGGGCUAAACAUAUUACCGAAGCUGUGGAUUGUCCUUUGGACAAUGGUAGGAGAGCGUUCUAAGGGCGUUGAAGCAUGAUCGUAAGGACAUGUGGAGCGCUUAGAAGUGAGAAUGCCGGUGUGAGUAGCGAAAGACGGGUGAGAAUCCCGUCCACCGAUUGACUAAGGUUUCCAGAGGAAGGCUCGUCCGCUCUGGGUUAGUCGGGUCCUAAGCUGAGGCCGACAGGCGUAGGCGAUGGAUAACAGGUUGAUAUUCCUGUACCACCUAUAAUCGUUUUAAUCGAUGGGGGGACGCAGUAGGAUAGGCGAAGCGUGCGAUUGGAUUGCACGUCUAAGCAGUAAGGCUGAGUAUUAGGCAAAUCCGGUACUCGUUAAGGCUGAGCUGUGAUGGGGAGAAGACAUUGUGUCUUCGAGUCGUUGAUUUCACACUGCCGAGAAAAGCCUCUAGAUAGAAAAUAGGUGCCCGUACCGCAAACCGACACAGGUAGUCAAGAUGAGAAUUCUAAGGUGAGCGAGCGAACUCUCGUUAAGGAACUCGGCAAAAUGACCCCGUAACUUCGGGAGAAGGGGUGCUCUUUAGGGUUAACGCCCAGAAGAGCCGCAGUGAAUAGGCCAAGCGACUGUUUAUCAAAAACACAGGUCUCUGCUAAACCGUAAGGUGAUGUAUAGGGGCUGACGCCUGCCCGGUGCUGGAAGGUUAAGAGGAGUGGUUAGCUUCUGCGAAGCUACGAAUCGAAGCCCCAGUAAACGGCGGCCGUAACUAUAACAUCCUAAGGUAGCGAAAUUCCUUGUCGGGUAAGUUCCGACCCGCACGAAAGGCGUAACGAUUUGGGCACUGUCUCAACGAGAGACUCGGUGAAAUCAUAGUACCUGUGAAGAUGCAGGUUACCCGCGACAGGACGGAAAGACCCCGUGGAGCUUUACUGUAGCCUGAUAUUGAAAUUCGGCACAGCUUGUACAGGAUAGGUAGGAGCCUUUGAAACGUGAGCGCUAGCUUACGUGGAGGCGCUGGUGGGAUACUACCCUAGCUGUGUUGGCUUUCUAACCCGCACCACUUAUCGUGGUGGGAGACAGUGUCAGGCGGGCAGUUUGACUGGGGCGGUCGCCUCCUAAAAGGUAACGGAGGCGCUCAAAGGUUCCCUCAGAAUGGUUGGAAAUCAUUCAUAGAGUGUAAAGGCAUAAGGGAGCUUGACUGCGAGACCUACAAGUCGAGCAGGGUCGAAAGACGGACUUAGUGAUCCGGUGGUUCCGCAUGGAAGAGCCAUCGCUCAACGGAUAAAAGCUACCCCGGGGAUAACAGGCUUAUCUCCCCCAAGAGUUCACAUCGACGGGGAGGUUUGGCACCUCGAUGUCGGCUCAUCGCAUCCUGGGGCUGUAGUCGGUCCCAAGGGUUGGGCUGUUCGCCCAUUAAAGCGGUACGCGAGCUGGGUUCAGAACGUCGUGAGACAGUUCGGUCCCUAUCCGUCGUGGGCGUAGGAAAUUUGAGAGGAGCUGUCCUUAGUACGAGAGGACCGGGAUGGACAUACCUCUGGUGUACCAGUUGUCGUGCCAACGGCAUAGCUGGGUAGCUAUGUGUGGACGGGAUAAGUGCUGAAAGCAUCUAAGCAUGAAGCCCCCUCAAGAUGAGAUUUCCCAACUUCGGUUAUAAGAUCCCUCAAAGAUGAUGAGGUUAAUAGGUUCGAGGUGGAAGCAUGGUGACAUGUGGAGCUGACGAAUACUAAUCGAUCGAAGACUUAAUCAA